rnacentral:lncRNA from 1 species
GGGCUGAAGGGCUGCUCAAGUGCCGCCAAAGUGGGAGCCCAGGCAGAGGAGGCGCCCAGAGCGAGCGAGGGCUGUGAGGACUGCCAGCACGCUGUCACCUCUCACUCAUAUAGAUUGCCAAUCUAUUUGUGAACCAGGUGGGGGAGAGCUGUUUCAGGAUUACUUUCCGUAUCCUACUGUAAUGGUCCUUACACUGAAGGUAAAGAAAUAAAUGAUUUGUUUUUGUUGUAAGAACACUCAACAUGGCCGGGC